UGGAAGUUGAAACUACUAUUCCUGCUGUUCCUAUUACAUCUGAAGCUGUUUCGGAAUCUACUUCACCAGAUGUAAUCGCUAUUCCAUCAACAUCCAAGGAAGUUACAUCUGAAGAUUUUUCACAACAGACACCUACAUCCCUUAGUGUGGAUAGUCCAAGAAAACAUGGAUUAAGGUUACAAAUUAG